rnacentral:rRNA from 1 species
GAAGCGGCAAAAGCUCAAAUUUGAAAUCUGGUACCUUCGGUGCCCGAGUUGUAAUUUGGAGAGGGCAACUUUGGGGCCGUUCCUUGUCUAUGUUCCUUGGAACAGGACGUCAUAGAGGGUGAGAAUCCCGUGUGGCGAGGAGUGCGGUUCUUUGUAAAGUGCCUUCGAAGAGUCGAGUUGUUUGGGAAUGCAGCUCUAAGUGGGUGGUAAAUUCCAUCUAAAGCUAAAUAUUGGCGAGAGACCGAUAGCGAACAAGUACAGUGAUGGAAAGAUGAAAAGAACUUUGAAAAGAGAGUGAAAAAGUACGUGAAAUUGUUGAAAGGGAAGGGCAUUUGAUCAGACAUGGUGUUUUGUGCCCUCUGCUCCUUGUGGGUAGGGGAAUCUCGCAUUUCACUGGGCCAGCAUCAGUUUUGGUGGCAGGAUAAAUCCAUAGGAAUGUAGCUUGCCUCGGUAAGUAUUAUAGCCUGUGGGAAUACUGCCAGCUGGGACUGAGGACUGCGAC